rnacentral:snoRNA from 1 species
CAUGCCCCUAGAGACACUGCAGGUGUGGCUGCUGUGUCACAUGUGUCUGCAGGUGGCAGAGAGGGGAGGCUGUCUAAUCUCAGUGUUCUGACCUGAGAACAUCUUAAUGAUUAGAAUUCCAACAUU